rnacentral:sRNA from 1 species
AUCAUCAAAUUGUUGGAUGGAAAACGAUCUCAAACUGUGGGAAUCUUGAUAUCUAGUUUACAUUUAGAAAUGAAGGAUAUCCAACAGGCCAUUUUCAAUGUGGAUGACUCCGUGGUUGAUCUGGAGACGCUGGCAGCCUUAUAUGAAAACAGAGCCCAAGAGGAUGAGCUGGUUAAAAUAAGAAAGUAUUACGAGACAUCCAAAGAAGAAGAACUGAAGCUGCUGGAUAAACCUGAGCAGUAAGGAUACUUAACAUUUUUCUGUUAGGCCAAAAGGAGAACUGCAAUUUCUGUCUUCUUGUCUCCCAGCUCAGAAUAACCAAAUCUAAAUGUGCAGCCAGCUAAAUCACAACACCGUCAUUCCUGUGACCUAUUGCAUGCAGCAGGAUGACCCUGCUGCCGGGAAAAGCAGCGCUGAGAUUUGUGCUGUUGGAUACAAUGUGUCUCACCCCCCUCCCCCACCCCACGAGACUCCCCUUUCUUUUUCUAGCAACUUGUUAAUUCCUCCUAGACUAAACAAUUUGACCAAAAGGGUAACUGAGGAAGGAAGAAGGCAUUGUUCUGUUUAAGG